rnacentral:rRNA from 1 species
GAUGAACGCUGGCGGCGUGCCUAAUACAUGCAAGUCGAGCGAACAGAUGAGGAGCUUGCUCCUCUGACGUUAGCGGCGGACGGGUGAGUAACACGUGGAUAACCUACCUAUAAGACUGGGAUAACUUCGGGAAACCGGAGCUAAUACCGUAUAAUAUAUUGAACCGCAUGGUUCAAUAGUGAAAGACGGUUUUGCUGUCACUUAUAGAUGGAUCCGCGCCGCAUUAGCUAGUUGGUAAGUUAACGGCUUACCAAGGCAACGAUGCGUAGCCGACGUGAGAGGGUGAUCGGCCACACUGGAACUGAGACACGGUCCAGACUCCUACGGGAGGCAGCAGUAGGGAAUCUUCCGCAAUGGGCGAAAGCCUGACGGAGCAACGCCGCGUGAGUGAUGAAGGUCUUCGGAUCGUAAAACUCUGUUAUUAGGGAAGAACAAAUGUGUAAGUAACUAUGCACGUCUUGACGGUACCUAAUCAGAAAGCCACGGCUAACUACGUG